AGAGUUUGAUCCUGGCUCAGAACGAACGCUGGCGGCAGGCUUAACACAUGCAAGUCGAGCGCCCCGCAAGGGGAGCGGCAGACGGGAGAGUAACACGUGGGAACGUACCCUUCAGUUCGGAACAACCCAGGGAAACUUGGGCUAAUACCGGAUACGUCCGUAAGGAGAAAGAUUUAUCGCUGAAGGAUCGGCCCGCGUCUGAUUAGCUAGUUGGUGAGGUAACGGCUCACCAAGGCUACGAUCAGUAGCUGGUCUGAGAGGAUGAUCAGCCUCACUGGGACUGAGACACGGCCCAGACUCCUACGGGAGGCAGCAGUGGGGAAUAUUGGACAAUGGGCGCAAGCCUGAUCCAGCCAUGCCGCGUGGAUGAUGAAGGCCUUAGGGUUGUAAAAUCCUUCGACGGGAAGA
rnacentral:rRNA from 1 species